GGCUUGAACCUGAGAGUUUGAUCCUGGCUCAGAACGAACGCUGGCGGCAUGCCUAACACAUGCAAGUCGAAC
rnacentral:rRNA from 1 species